AGCGAACGCUGGCGGCAGGCCUAACACAUGCAAGUCGAACGAACCUUUCGGGGUUAGUGGCGGACGGGUGAGUAACACGUGGGAACGUGCCUUUAGGUUCGGAAUAACUCAGGGAAACUUGUGCUAAUACCGAAUGUGCCCUUCGGGGGAAAGAUUUAUCGCCUUUAGAGCGGCCCGCGUCUGAUUAGCUAGUUGGUUGAGGUAAUGGCUCACCAAGGCGACGAUCAGUAGCUGGUCUGAGAGGAUGAUCAGCCACAUUGGGACUGAGACACGGCCCCAACUCCUACGGGAGGCAGCAGUGGGGAAUCUUGCGGAAUGGGCGAAAGCCUGACGCAGCCCUGCCGCGUGAAUGAUGAAGGUCUUAGGAUUGUAAAAUUCUUUCACCGGGGACGAUAAUGACGGUACCCGGAGAAGAAGCCCCGGCUAACUUCGUG
rnacentral:rRNA from 1 species